AGAGUUUGAUCCUGGCUCAGGAGUAACGCUGGCGGCGCACAUAAGACAUGCAAGUCGAACGGAGUUUAGUCAAAUGUUUACAUGAGACGAAAACUUAGUGGCGGACUGGUGAGUAACACGUGAGCAACCUACCUUUAAGAGGGGAACAACAACGAGAAAUCGUUGCUAAUACCGCAUAACGCAUAAGUUUCGCAUGAAGCAAAUGCCAAAGGAGCAAUCCGCUUAAAGAUGGGCUCGCGGCUGAUUAGUUAGUUGGAGUGGUAACGGCACACCAAGACGAUGAUCAGUAGCCGAGCUGAGAGGCACUACGGCCACAUUGGGACUGAGAUACGGCCCAGACUCCUACGGGAGGCAGCAGUCGGGAAUAUUGCACAAUGGAGGAAACUCUGAUGCAGUGACGCCGCGUACAGGAAGAAGGUCCUCUGGAUUGUAAACUGUUGUCGAAGGGGAAGAAAACAGACAGUACCCUUGGAGGAAGCUCCGGCAAACUACGUGCCAGCAGCCGCGGUAAUACGUAGGGAGCAAGCGUUAUCCGGAUUUAUUGGGUGUAAAGGGCGCGUAGACGGCUUAGCAAGUUGGUUGUGAAAUCCCGAGGCUUAACUUCGGAACUGCAACCAAAACUGUUUAGCUUGAGUAUGGGAGAGGAAAGCGGAAUUCCUAGUGUAGCGGUGAAAUGCGUAGAUAUUAGGAGGAACACCAGUGGCGAAGGCGGCUUUCUGGACCAAAACUGACGUUGAGGCGCGAAAGUGUGGGGAGCAAACAGGAUUAGAUACCCUGGUAGUCCACACCGUAAACGAUGGAUACUAGGUGUAGGGUGGAUUAAACCAUUCUGUGCCGGCGUUAACACAAUAAGUAUCCCACCUGAGUAGUACGACCGCAAGGUUAAAACUCAAAGGAAUUGACGGGGGCCCGCACAAGCAGUGGAGUAUGUGGUUUAAUUCGAAGCAACGCGAAGAACCUUACCAGGGCUUGACAUGUAUCGGAAUACUUAAGAGAUUAAGUAGUUCUUCGGAACUGAUACACAGGUGGUGCAUGGUUGUCGUCAGCUCGUGUCGUGAGAU
rnacentral:rRNA from 1 species